CCAGCUGAGGCUCCCAGGCCAGUCGGGGAAAAAGACCCAGCCCCAAACAGCAAGAACCCAGGGCGGUCAGGGCUAGGACAGGGGAUCCAGGGGUGGUGAGGUGGGCAGUCGCGCCUUCCCUGAUAAGGGGACCAGGGGAAGAAAGACUUCUGGGGGAAGACGCCAAGGUCAGUUUGGGACAAGAGCCCUGCCCAGCGAGGUCAGCCCAGGACACGGUGCUGGAGGAGCAAAUCAGGACAGGUGAGCACAGGUGUGGCCCCCUGCCCGGAAGCAGGCUGCUGAGGCCUCAGAGGAACCAGGACCCAGAAGCCAUCAGGAUGUGGGUGGUAAGAACACAGCUACCCGCAACUCUGGCGCCGCAGCCCCCACGGUUCCCCCUCAGCAGCGUCUCAGAGACACCUUCCUUGGUACCCUCCCUGCACCCCAAUUUAAAGUGGCAAACCGGGCCAGGGACAGUGGCUCACGCCUGCAA